GGGGAAUAUUGCACAAUGGAGGAAACUCUGAUGCAGCGACGCCGCGUGAGUGAAGAAGGUCUUCGGAUCGUAAAACUCUGUCCUUGGUGAAGAAAAGGACGGUAGCCAAGGAGGAAGCCCCGGCUAACUACGUGCCAGCAGCCGCGGUAAUACGUAGGGGGCGAGCGUUGUCCGGAUUUACUGGGCGUAAAGGGUGAGUAGGCGGUUGUAUAUGUCAGGUGUAAAAGGCUAUGGCUUAACCAUGGUUAGCACUUGAAACUGUGCAACUUGAGUGCAGGAGAGGUAAGCGGAAUUCCUAGUGUAGCGGUGAAAUGCGUAGAUAUUAGGAGGAACACCAGUGGCGAAGGCGGCUUACUGGACUGUAACUGACGCUGAGUCACGAAAGCGUGGGUAGCAAACA
rnacentral:rRNA from 1 species